GCCCCGUUCGUUCAGUGGUUAGGACAUCAGAUUUUCACUCUGGAAACAGGAGUUCAAUUCCCCUACGGGGUACCA
rnacentral:tRNA from 16 species